rnacentral:rRNA from 1 species
GACAGAGGGUGCAAACGUUGCUCGGAAUUACUGGGCGUAAAGCGCGUGUAGGCGGGUUUCCAAGUCAGAUGUGAAAUCCCCGGGCUCAACCCGGGAACUGCAUUUGAAACUGGGAGUCUUGAGUAUCGGAGAGGAAAGCGGAAUUCCUGGUGUAGAGGUGAAAUUCGUAGAUAUCAGGAGGAACACCGGUGGCGAAGGCGGGUCUCUGGGCCGAUGACUGACGCUGAGGAGCGAAAGCGUGGGGAGCGAACAGG